rnacentral:rRNA from 1 species
UGCAGUCGACGCUUUGUGGUUCAACUGAUUUGAAGAGCUUGCUCAGAUAUGACGAUGGACAUUGCAAAGAGUGGCGAACGGGUGAGUAACACGUGGGAAACCUACCUCUUAGCAGGGGAUAACAUUUGGAAACAGAUGCUAAUACCGUAUAACAAUGACAACCGCAUGGUUGUUAUUUAAAAGAUGGUUCUGCUAUCACUAAGAGAUGGUCCCGCGGUGCAUUAGCUAGUUGGUAAGGUAAUGGCUUACCAAGGCGAUGAUGCAUAGCCGAGUUGAGAGACUGAUCGGCCACAAUGGGACUGAGACACGGCCCAUACUCCUACGGGAGGCAGCAGUAGGGAAUCUUCCACAAUGGGCGAAAGCCUGAUGGAGCAACGCCGCGUGUGUGAUGAAGGGUUUCGGCUCGUAAAACACUGUUGUAAGAGAAGAAUGACAUUGAGAGUAACUGUUCAAUGUGUGACGGUAUCUUACCAGAAAGGAACGGCUAAAUACGUGCCAGCAGNC